UUGAUGUCUCUUUUGACUUCUUUUAGAAAUCGUGACUGUUAUUUUUGGUUAGCUGAAUAUGGUUGUUGUUAAUUUGCUAUAUAUGAAGAAAAGAUUGAAUUUUUAGAGGUUUUUUUGGUGUCUCUUUUGACUUUUUGACUGUUGUUUCUGGUUUAGCUGAAUAUGGUUGUUUGUUAAUUGCUAUCUAUGAAGUAAAGAUUGAACUUUUAGAGGUUUUUCUGAUGUCUCUUUUUGACUUUUUGACUGUUCUUUUUGGUUAGUUGAAUAUGGUUGUUUGUUAAUUGCUAUCUAUGAAUUAAAGAUUGAAUUUUUAGAGGUUUUUCUGAUGUCUCUUUUGUCUUUUUGACUGUUAUUUCUGGUUUAGCUGAGCUGCUGAUGUUGUUGUUAAUUUGCUAUCUAUGAGGACAAGCUUGAAUUUUUCUUCAGUGUAUCGUAUUGAUACAUUAUGCAGGCAGAAGUAAUGAAAUGAGUUAUAAGGGAUCUAUUUUUUCUAUGCCUGGUAAUUUGUAAAAUGGGUAGACCAUUAACUUUAAAUAAGGGAGCUUUUUU